GCUUCUAAACUUAUAAAAGGAUAUAGACAUACAUAAUUUAUGUUCACGUUUUCCAUUACAAUUUGAUAACUUAUUUUCUCAUGUUGCAACACACGAUAUAUUUGCUAGUAAUUACUAAAAAUAAUUAUCUCAAAUAAAUCUGAUUAAUUAUUUUUUAGGUUUUUAAAGUUAUAAUUAGUUAAUUAACUUAUAUAUAGGAAAAGAAAAAAAAAGAAAUAUGGUCAAAUCCCAGCCGUCACUACCACGGGAGACCUACGAGCGUCGUGACCCCUUCCUUUGUACAAUCUUCUUCGUGCUUCUAACCAAGGAUACUACCCUAAUUCUUCACAUCACUAUUGAUUCAACAACCCCCA
rnacentral:lncRNA from 1 species